rnacentral:rRNA from 1 species
UACGGAGGGAGCUAGCGUUAUUCGGAAUUACUGGGCGUAAAGGGCGCGUAGGCGGGAUGGCAAGUCGGUCGUGAAAUCCCUCGGCUCAACCGAGGAACGUCGAUCGAUACUGCUGUUCUUGAGGAUUGCAGAGGAGACUGGAAUUCCCGGUGUAGCGGUGAAAUGUGUAGAGAUCGGGAGGAACACCGGUGGCGAAGGCGGGUCUCUGGGCCGAUACUGACGCUGAGGAGCGAAAGCGUGGGGAGCGAACAGG